AGUGAACGCUGGCGGCGUGCCUAAUACAUGCAAGUCGAACGAAGUGGCGCACGGGUGAGUAAUAUAUAGUUAAUCUGCCCUACACAGAGGAAAAAAAGUUGGAAACGAAUGCUAAUACCUCAUAGUGUAGGAUGAGAAUAUAUCGUAUCAGCUAGUUGGUAAGGUAAUGGAUUACAAAGGCUAUGACGCUUAACUGGUCUGCGAGGAUGAUCAGGCACAUUGGAACUGAGACACGGUCCAAACCCCUACGGGAGGCAGCAGUAGGGAAUAUUGCGCAAUGGGGGAAACCCUGACGCAGCAACGCCGCGUGAACGAAGAAGGCUUUCGAGUCGUAAAGUUCUUUUAUAUGGGAAGCGGUACCAUAAGAAAAAGCCCCGGCUAACUACGUGCCAGCAGCCGCGGUAAUAC
rnacentral:rRNA from 1 species